rnacentral:rRNA from 1 species
GAUGAACGCUGGCGGCGUGCUUAACACAUGCAAGUCGAACGGUGAAAGAGAGCUUGCUCUCUGGAACAGUGGCGAACGGGUGAGUAACACGAGAGCAAUCUGCCCCUGACUCUGGGAUAAGCGCUGGAAACGGCGUCUAAUAUCGGAUCCGAGCUGCGAAGGCAUCUUCAGCAGCUGGAAAGAACUUCGGUCAGGGAUGAGCUCGCGGCCUAUCAGCUAGUUGGUGAGGUAACGGCUCACCAAGGCGUCGACGGGUAGCCGGCCGGAGAGGGUGACCGGCCACACUGGGACUGAGACACGGCCCAGACUCCUACGGGAGGCAGCAGUGGGGAAUAUUGCACAAUGGGCGAAAGCCUGAUGCAGCAACGCCGCGUGAGGGACGACGGCCUUCGGGUUGUAAACCACUUUUAGCAGGGAAGAAGCGAGAGUGACGGUACCUGGAGAAAAAGCACCGGCUAACUACGUG